AUUGAACGCUGGCGGCAGGCCUAACACAUGCAAGUCGAACGGUAACAGGAAGCAGCUUGCUGCUUCGCUGACGAGUGGCGAACGGGUGAGUAAUGUCUGGGAAACUGCCUGAUGGAGGGGGGUAACUACUGGAAACGGUAGCUAAUACCGCAUAACGUCGCAAGACCAAAGAGGGGGACCUUAGGGCCUCUUGCCAUCGGAUGUGCCCAGAUGGGAUUAGCUAGUAGGUGGGGUAACGGCUCACCUAGGCGACGAUCCCUAGCUGGUCUGAGAGGAUGACCAGCCACACUGGAACUGAGUCACGGUCCAGACUCCUACGGGAGGCAGCAGUGGGGAAUAUUGCACAAUGGGCGCAAGCCUGAUGCAGCCAUGCCGCGUGUAUGAAGAAGGCCUUCGGGUUGUAAAGUACUUUCAGCGGGGAGGAAGGGAGUAAAGUUAAUACCUUUGCUCAUUGACGUUACCCGCAGAAGAAGCACCGGCUAACUCCGUG
rnacentral:rRNA from 1 species